CACGUAGGGCGCAAGCGUUGUCCGGAAUUAUUGGGCGUAAAGAGCUCGUAGGCGGUCUGUUGCGUCUGCUGUGAAAACCCGGGGCUUAACCCCUGGCUUGCAGUGGAUACGGACAGACUAGAGGUAGGUAGGGGAGAAUGGAAUUCCCGAUGUAGCGGUGAAAUGCGCAGAUAUCGGGAGGAACACCGGUGGCGAAGGCGGGUCUCUGGGCCGAAAUUGACGCUGAGGAGCGAAAGCGUGGGGAGCAAACAGG
rnacentral:rRNA from 1 species